rnacentral:tRNA from 1 species
GAGGGCAUAGCUCAGUGGCAGAGUGCCUGCUUGGCACGCACGAGGUCCUGGGUUCAAUCCCCAGUACCUCCU